GCUUGUCUCAAAGAUUAAGCCAUGCAUGUCUAAGUACAAGCCUCAGUAAGGUGAAACCGCGAAUGGCUCAUUAAAUCAGUUAUCGUUUAUUUGAUAGCACCUACUACAUGGAUAACUGUGGUAAUUCUAGAGCUAAUACAUGCUAAAAAUCCCGACUUCGGAAGGGAUGUAUUUAUUAGAUUAAAAACCAAUGCCCUUCGGGGCUCUCUGGUGAUUCAUAAUAACUGCUCGAAUCGCAUGGCCUUGCGCCGGCGAUGGCUCAUUCAAAUUUCUGCCCUAUCAACUUUCGACGGCUGGGUCUUGGCCAGCCAUGGUGACAACGGGUAACGGAGGGUUAGGGCUCGACCCCGGAGAAGGAGCCUGAGAGACGGCUACUACAUCCAAGGAAGGCAGCAGG
rnacentral:rRNA from 1 species